GGUUAUAACAGUCAGUCAUA
rnacentral:snRNA from 1 species